AGUGGAAGCUGGGGUGUCGGCGGGCGGCCGCGGCCGGGUCUAGCGGUGCCUGCGGAAGAAGGAGGAGGAGGGCUGGCGAUGAGAAGCAGCAGGGGGAAUCAAGGGCAAGAAGGGACCCAGAGGGGCAGGUGGCUGAGAUGCUGGCGUCCAGGUGACCCGAGGAAUCCUCUGGAGAUACAGGCCCGCGCAUGCGCGUGCUCGAGCGCUGAAGCCCAUUGCCCGCAGGGCGCUGGACUGGCGCCCCGGCCGGCGAGGCUGUCUAGUCCAGGCUCCAGGCCCCGGCUCUGGCCAGGCGCCGCCGCCUCCCGGUGCAGCUGAAAGUCGACGAAGAGGGCGGGGCGGGGGCGGCUUGUGGACUUCCACACUUUUCCUCUCUUCGGGCCAGUCUGGGGAGAGGGUGGCUAGCUGUGGCGGCGGCCAAUUACGUGGCGGACCUGCGGGGCUAAGCUGGCACGUCACUUCCGACUAGUGGAGUUUUUAGCCUUUUAACAUUCAAGGAUUAGAGCUCCCUCUUUGCCCACUAGCAGGGCAUUAGCUGGUGCUGAAGACAGUGGCUGCUUGGCGAGCCUGGAUCUCCAAGUGACCCCCUCAGCAACUCCUGAUGAACAGGACUGAAGCCAAUAUUAAAGCAAGUCAACCAAAGGUUCUCUGGUGUAGACAAGACAGCAAAAGGACAGACUACCUUGUGGAACCUAGCAUUGUUCUCCUUCUGCAGCACUAAGUAACAUUUGUUCUCCGUUAAGAUCUUUGCAAACCACACACAAGAAUUGCUGGUCAUCCUGCCAAUAGAUGCUGCUCACAGAACCAAAUUUCCUGUGCUGAAUUGUCACUCAUGGGCUUGAGAGUAGGAGACUGGAGACCAAGGUGGCUAGAAUCCAGUUGGGCCUGAUGUCUCCCUGUUGAAAGGGCUCCUUGUGGAAUGAAUAGCACAUGGCUCCUGUGGUGGAUCUGAUAGUGGCAUAGCACCAAGUGAUGCAGGCCUGCCAGGGGCCACAGACACAGAAGAUGCUCCCGGGGUCCCCCAUGUACUCCAGACACACUGCAGGCCACCUCUCCCAGCAGGUUGCCAGUCAUGGGCCCCAUCAUCAUGACUUCUGUCCAAGGUGUGCUCGGAAAUCUCUUCCUUAACUGUGACUUUCUGACAGGUGGAGGAUGUGGUCAGGAGUGGGAAAAGGAUUCGAGACGGGAAGAGGGAGGGGUUCAGGAUGAAGAGAGAUAAUCUGUGCCACAGAUGCUGGCCCUGCAGUUAGCUCCCACCUAGUCCGUGCACACACAUUCUAAUCCCCUCCCAUUCCUUUACAUGCUGCGGCCAGAGAGGCCUUUCUCAAAGUGGAAGUCUCAUCCUCACUUCUCUGGUUACAGUGCUGGGCCAUGGUAACUUACAAGGCUUAGCAGGAACUGUCUGCGCACUCCCCCUUCCUGCCCACUACCUUGUUUCCCUCCAGUUGCGAGAGAAAACAUUGAUUGAGCAUUAACUAUGUGCCAGGCUUGUCCUAAGUCCUUUGCAUGUAUUCACUCAAACAAUCCUCACAACAUUCCUAUCACAUCUCCCAUUUCACAGUGAGGGUUCUAAAGCACGUAGUGGGUGAGGAACUUGUCCAGGGUCACACAACUAAGUGGGGGUGGAGAAACAUCAAAUCUAGGUGGUCCAGGUGGUGGCCAGAACCCAUCAGCACCUCACUACAGCUGCCUCCAGUUUCUCGCUCUAGGAAAUACUCUUCCCUGUCAACUCCUGUUGUCCUCUGGGCUCAGUUGACAUGUCAUCUCCUUGAGGAGGACAUCCUGAGAUGCUCCCCGACUAGGGUGGGCACCCACUUCCACACUCCAAAUGCCUAUUUGACCUGUGUAUCGCUGCAUCCCCACUGCCUGGCAGAUAGCAGGCCCCUAAUAAAUAUGAUUUGAGCAAAUAAAUAUAGUUCUUCAAAAAAUAGGGAGGACUUCUUGCUUCAGGUAAUGGUAGGCUAGGACAUUUGGACCAACCCUCCUGCAGAAAAUAGCCAUUUAUUUUGAUGCAAUAUAUCUGGCUAUGACUAGAGAUUUCAAAUAUUUGGAGGGCUAUUAUGUGAAGAACUAAACUUACUCUUUGUGACAUAGAGGUCAGAAAUUGGUCGUUUCCAUAGAGUAUGAGAGAGACAGAAUUGUGCUCAUCAUAAGUAUCUUUUUUAAAAGUUAGACUUAAUAAAAUGGGCUGCCUUGGUAGGUGGUGAGUUCUCUGUCACGAAAGAGAUUCAGCCACUUGCUCUGAGAAAGCAUGGAGAAUAUCAACAUUGUAAGGGUCGACCACCUCAUCUCUGAGGCCCCCUCCUCACUUAGGUUGCCAUUGCAGGUGGAACACUGGGCUGAGUGUCAAAGAACCUGGGUUCCACAAGCUGUGCGACCAUGGCUGGUUGUUUUGGAUCUCAUUCCUAAUAUCUGUUAGUUAAGCUGACCCGUCAAUACUGACCCACUUCACAGAGUUAUGAAGGGAUUAAAUUAGGUAUUACAUGUAAAUCUGUUUUGUUUGCUUUUUGUUGUUCUUUUUUGUUUUGCUUUUUUCUUUGCAUUAUGAAAUCCCAAGUCAACUUUUUCCAUUCUUUUAUUUUUUUAAAAAUUGACAUCAUCAUUAUAACCACAAAAUAAUUUUUAAAAUGGAAAAAAAAAACUCACCUGCAACCCCACAAUCUAAUACAAUAAUCAUACUUUUUUCCCUUUAUUCUCCUUUAUUGUGACCAAGGAUGACUUUGGGCAUUGCUGUGAGGAACUAUUUCGUUUAACACCCUACUACCUGAACAUGAUGCGUACUCAGCCUUUCACCACCCCCCAAGUAGCUACACAUGAUGUGAUAAUAGUAUUGGUGGUGGUUUUAGAGAGUUGGAGAGAAAACUGAAGUUGGAUUUGGGUAAAAGAAAAAAGAGUGGGAAUUAUUUUUUCUCCAUUCUAAAGCCCAUAAAGCAAUGUUAAUUGUUCCCACCCCUCUGCUAUUCUGUCUCCUCAGGUACUGUGUGCAGAAAUGUGAUUGAGAUUCAAGUCAGGGCCUCUCUGCCCUUUUCCCUCCAGAAACAAAACCAAGAUAAUUUAUCCUGAACACGGUGAAAAAAGGAAGGGAGGGAGGAGAAAAAGUCCGGGUCUCACCUGGGAUUCUCUGUCUCCUGCAACAUGAAGGAUUUAGCCUGGGAGGAGGUGGUGAGAACUCUGGGAGAGAAAAAAGAAGGAAAGAAUAGUUUUACCCAUGCUGAAGUUAAUUUAAACCUUCACCUAGAGAAGCAAAAAAAAAAAACCCACACUUUCCCAUUUUGUGCCUCCCUUCCUAGAGUUUUAGCCAAAGGUUUAGCUAAGUAAUUGGUUUUACCAGCGCACUCACUCCUCCUAUCCCAAGUCUGUUUGACUCCCUCCCCAUCAUCCUCCUCACCUCUUUUCAGGCAGGGUGGGGAUAGCAGCAGGAGGAGAUUUUGGGAGCCUGGCAACUCCUGCAAGGACCGCAGGACAGCCCCUCUGUGGGGAUGCGUGGUGCCCCAUCUGCCGCCCUUCUGAAGAAUGCACUGCCUUCACUUUUUACUGUGUUAGAGUCCAUCCAGACUGUUCUAUCCAAAAAAGUUUCUUUUUCCCCCACAGGCAAUCAGGAAAUGAUUCCUUUCCCGACUGCUUCUGUCUAGUGCCUGGGAAUCUUGAGUCAAUCCCUCAGUAAGUCAGUGACUAGGGAAAUCCCUCUCUGAGCCUCCCAGUUCAUGUUGCUUAGGGAACCUGAUAUUUUCGUGAAACCUGCCUACACAUGGGCAGCCCAACAGCAGAACAAAUGGUGGUGACCAAAGUGAACAAAGAAGUAUAGUUGUGCCAGCUUCGUAGUUGCCCAUGUGGACAAGUCAGCAGGAUCAGGACACGAGGAAGAGUAAAUGUGAGACAGUCAAUGUGACUUCUGCGAUAAACAGAUUUUUAAACCCCGAAAUUUUGCAAAAUUUUGGUGAAACCUGAACUUUCUUCGUUGCAUAUACUGGCACUAUCUGUACCAUCAUACAACUGUCUCACAUUAAAGCUAUUUUUCUUGGGCACUGAUGAGUAAGGUUGGUAUAAGUUCCUCAGAUCAACAAAAACCCAUUUUCCUGUAAGUCUUACAUUUAGUAUUUAAGGAACUAAAACUUAAAUACAUUUUGUGAAAUGGUUGACACUUCACUGAUAAUGAUUUAUUGCUUGGAUUAAUAAAUUUUCCAAAAGUUGUCUUAUGUAGAAUAUGGUUUGCAACCAGCAGAACCAUUAAUCUAUACUGCAAUGAUAUGCACUAUGUAUAAUUGUUUAAAAGCCUCUACUUAAUGAUGUAAAAUGCUCUAUUUAAUUACACAUUUGGGUAAACUGUAUACUAACAUCUGAUGGCAUUUUUCCACUGUUUGUUGCUUUUUUCAAAUACUUUAUUGUACAAAGCUGUUCUUAAUAUUUUUCAAGUUUUUUUCUUUGAAUUUUGCUAAUGUUUUCCUUGAAUUAUGAGCACUGACAGAAUGUGCUUAGCACUUUUGGCUAUUCACACAGCUUUUGAGCAUGAUUUGCAUCCAAUAUUUACAUUGCUAGCAAUAAUAAGCCAUCUGUGAGUUUUGUCAAAA
rnacentral:lncRNA from 1 species